GGGACCCCGAACCGAGCGGGAGCUGCCGGGCGCCCGGGACCGUAGCCCCGCGCGGGCCCCGGACCCGCUCCUGAAGCGGGCGGGCGCGGCCAGCGUGCAGCGACGAACACCCUGGUGCUGCCGGUCUCAAGCCUUUUCUGCCCCCGGGUCCUGGAGCUGACCCAGGUGCUGCGUGGACACCGGCUUCAGGAGGGAGCCGAUCCCCGGCUUCUUGGCGGGAUGAGACGGGGGUGGCGGGGAGGGCAGAGAAGGGGGCACUGGCUGCUGCCCCCUCAGAAGUCUGCUGGAUUUUGGUCAUAACUAAAACGGGCCGCCCCAGAGGCCUGUGUACCCCGAGAGGACCUCGGCGUGGACAGUAUGUUCUCAACACAAACCAGCCAAUGUUUCCAGCACUUACUGAUCGAUAUUUCUGAUGACUCCAUGAGGCAUCAAAGAAACCAGAUCCACUUCUCCUGGUCACCAAGAGGAAUUGUGAAUUGCUUUUCGGCUCCAGAGGCUGCUCUCCGGGAAGGCGUCGGGGUGUAAGAGUGUGAUCUGGUUGUGAACUAUGGUCCUGUGCAGCCCCCACCUGAGCCUUUUCAAGGUUCUCAUUGACACUGCUACAGUGCUCUGUCUCAGGCCAAGGAUGGUUGAGAAGGAACUGAGGGUGUCGGAUCUUGUGCACGUUAGAUGAGGCACCAACGGUGCUGCGAGAUGAUCACUGUGCGCGUGUGACCCAGACAGACACUGCUACCGAAAAUCUCUGAUCAAUGGCACUGGGACCCCCGCAGGAGGACACAUCUCGAAGAAUCUCAGCAACUGCACAGGGUGUUGUCCCGCGUGUUCUUGGACCUUGCUGCCUCGGAAAAGCUGAAUAAACUCUGAAUAGAGUUGGCUUUCUGUGAGCCUGCAGCCAAUGUGGAACUUGUACUUGGCACACUCAACAUUUUCUCGGAACUUUCUUUUGACUUGAAGGAGCUCUCCCCUGUAAGGACUGAGGUGGAGGCAGCUGAGGUAGAGGCAUCCUCUUCUGUAGCAGAGUUUGGCAUUGUCUCCAGAGUUUCUCCUGAACUUUGAGACCCUGGCGGAGAACUCUGACGUGGUGCUUUGAGCCUACCCUCAUCAUCAGUAUCCUCCAGGCUCUCCAUUCCCAAAUGGAAAGACUCUGUUUUCUCUGAUGUUCUGGCAUCUUGUGGUACCUCUUCCCCCGCUUCAAAAGCCAACUCUGCUUGCCCUCCCUGAGACUUUGUGGUUGCAUUGCUGUACUCGUCCGCCUCCAGACCACUUUGCUUUCCUUCAGGUGGGCCUUCUGUGUCCACACCAUCACAACUGUCUCCCUCAGAGCUGUGAACCGCCCUGCUGCUUCUGGCUGAAGGAGAGUCACUUGAUCCAGCCUGGCUCUGACUUCCUGCUUGGAUUUCUUCAAUGAACAGCUCUCGACGGAUGCGAGAUCUAGAAGACACGAUAACAGAACGAUAAAUUUGGUGCUAGCCAUUCAUAAUCAUAGACCACAGUAAUAUGGUCCAACUUACAAAGUCCAUAUCCAUAUAGAAACUCUCCCAAAGUGCAACAGGAAGAGAAAGGGGAUGUCUGGAUCUGGGUUUUGAUUUGCACCCCAUUUUUACUUUGGGUAAUACUCACAACAUGCCAAAAUUUAAGAGAUUUAAAGAGAAGUUGAUCCAAUAAAAGAUAUUACCUCACUCACUUUGUCUCUCUAAUAUCCUGGAACCAACACGGCUACACCACCACUGCAUAUAUAAUUGUUGUAAAUCUGAUUCCUUCCGACUGUUCAGUUCAAUAAUUACCUCACACUCUAUGCAAAGAGUGUAAAUUUAACUUUCGUACAGGUAACAGAAUUGUUCUAGAAUGACAGUGUGUUAAAUCAUAAAUAGACUUUCUAGUUUAGUUAAAACAAUACUUGUUGCUGUUAGGAUAUAGAUAUUCAGGCCAGUCUGCAAAGGCCUGUACUUUAAGAAUUUAGGUGUAUUCUUAUCACUUGGCUAGUUCUAGAGGUAUAAAAGAAAGAAUCAAAAUCACUGUCUGCUGGUGUAAGGGCCUUCUCUUACUGUGACAGUCUGGGCCCUGUUCUUAGGCUAAGGCCUUUGGCUAAGCAGCAGAGGCAGCCAUAAGCUGGGAAGUGAACAGUCACAUCCUCACAUUCCAACCUAGUCACAUUGAAAUAAGGUGCUAUUGGGCUGUUAGGCACUAUCAGGACAGAAUUGUAUUCUUAUCACCUCCAGAGAAAGGGAAGUGCCUAGAAAAUGUAAAAGGAAACUUAGUUUGAUAGCAUCCUGUCUGGCAAGAACUCACUUAUCAAUAGCUGGGAUGUGAAAUCCUCACUUCUAUAUUGUCUUGUCAUUAUAGUUCCCACUUUGCUAUUGUUUGUCUGUAUAAUCUCUGUCUGGUUCUGUGAUUGUUCCUGUCUGCUAUAUAAUUAAUUUUGCUGGGUGUAAACCAAUUAAGGUGGUGGGAUAUAAUUGGUUACAUAAUCAUGUUACAAUAUGUUAGGAUUGGUUAGUUAAAUUUCAGGAAAAUGAUUGGUUAAGGUAUAGCUAAGCAGAACUCAAGUUUUACUAUAUAAUCUGUAGUCAAGGAGGAAGUAGGUGGGUGUGGGUGAGGGAAAUGGGAGCAGGGAAUGGGGGUAAGAAAAUUGGAAUCAUGUUUUGCUAAAGGGGAAAUGGGAACAGGGAAUGGGAAUAAGGAAGUUGGAAUCAUGUUUGGCUAAGGGUAGGAAUGGGAACAGGGACACAGGUGUAAGGCUCUGUGGUGUCAGAGCUGGGAAGGAGGAUACUAAGGAAGGAAACUGGAAUCAUGCUUGCUGGAAGUUCACCCCAAUAAACAUCGAAUUGUUUGCACCUUUGGAA